CUAAGGGGUUUCCAUGGUUACAGAUGGAUACAGGCAGCCCACUAGGCUGGGUCCUUUCUCCAUAUUGUCUCCUGGGGAGACAAUGGGCUUUGGGGAUGGGGCGGCAUGCCACGCAGAUCAUUUCUAGAGCAGGGGCCAUGAGUGCCUGCUCUGUGAACCCCUGGACCCCAGCUGCUGGGACAGAAGGAGUUGGGCACAGGGAUCAGCCUUGGUAACCGACUGCUUGCUUUGGGGUACAACACUACUGCUACAGCAACUCAAGAGAGGCUGUCCGCUGAGCAACUCAAGCAAAUCUGAGGCUCCAAAACAGCCAAACUGCAGAGGCCUCCAGACUCACAGAGAGAACGUAACAGGAUUACUGCUGUGGCUGGAAGAGGCCAAUUCUGCAGCACCCAUCCGUUUGCAUGAAGUUUCAAAGCAGCUGCAGACAUCCAAAGCACUGGUUGUGGAAGCAUCAGAAAGGUGAAGCCACCCGCCUAAGACCGAAGAGCUAGAAGCAAAAGAGCCAAAUUUCAAAACUGCAAAGUGUUCCUGACCUCUGGGCUGUCCUGCUUCCUGGAAAUUGCCUGGGCAGUGCGCUCCAUCUUCCUGGGGCAUUUAACCCACAAGUUUGCUAGCAGCCAUGUUUUCAAGCUGCAACAACUACUUCUUGGAUGGUGAGAAUUGGGAGAGAUGGCAGAAGGCCUGGGGAAGAGUGGGGAUGCUGGGAAAGCCUCCUGGUGAGAAAGCUCAGGCCACAGCUGGGCCAGGGUCAUCCACAGCAGUCUCCAGGCUCUGACACCCCCUCCCCAACCCUGACUCCCUCCCAGGGGAGAGAAUAACUUGGCUCCAAAGCUGAGGCCAGAAUAUAAGCCAGAGACCUGCUGACCUGACCCCCCCCCCCCACCCUGGAAUCUACUGAAUCUGGGGCCAGGAGCGGGGAAGGGCUGACCCCAAACUGAACAAAUCAAAAAGCCAAGUUCCCCUCUCAGCCCUGCAAUUUUUUUUUCUUUUGGACCAAAUAAGGAAGGAGCACCUGUUACUUUAUAAUCAUACUGUAGGACAACCUCGAGUUGAAAGCCAUGGGAUCUGGAGUCUUGAAAACGCGGUUCAAGCUCCUAUCUUUUCUAUUUCCAAACUCAGUGUCCUAGAGCAACUCACUCACUUUCCCCAAGCUUCAGUUUUUCUAUCUAUGAAAUAGACAAUGAUACUCCUGUUAGAGGGCGCUUGUAAGGAUUUGGGGGACCAGAGGUUAAAUUCACUUCAUUUUAGUUCACCUACAUUACUUAUGUUUUGUUACAUGUCUUAAGUUAUGGUUUUAAUAAUCCCCCCACUCAAAAAUAAACAAGAUUAAAAGAAUAAUGAAAAUAGUUAAUAAUAAGUGUCAACAUUUAUGGGCACUGAUUUUGUGCUGUUUCAAGGGCUUUAUACACAUUAACUCAUUUAUCUUCAUAAAAAGCCUAUGAAGCCAUUAUACAGAUGAGGAAACAGGCUCAGAGAGGCUAAGCAUGUUGUUCAAGGUCACACAGCAUGGAAGAGGCAAGCCGACUGACUCCAGAGCCUUAGUUUUGUGCCAGUCAGAAUGGAAAAGAACUCCAAAAGACACCAACCUGGUUUAUUCAAGUGCUGGCAUGUAAGGAUAAGGAAAAGCAGCCGUCAGUUUGAAUGACAGGCGAUGGGUCCGGAGUAAUUAGCCAAAUGUAUGAAGAUUUCACCAUUUCUAAACCAUCCUGUUAUAUGACCACACAUACCAUCUUCAUGGAAGUGCAGUAGCAUCACCAUGACAACUACUUUUGUGUUUUUACCUCUAAUGUAAUCGAUUGUAUUUUAAAAUAUUUUUAAAUGAAUAAAAGCUUUUGAAUUU